AUCAACCCAAACACUUCAAAGAAGACCCUCCUGCGUCGUUGUAUAUUGGUGUCCAGCGACCAUUUUUCACCUGAUGACUUGAUCCAGUGUGAAGGUUGUAUCUAUCUGACGCCUUUGGUCCGCGGCAUCGGCAGUGUAUGGGACAACAGACCGCUGGUGGAAGUGCUAACAAGACUGCAUUACCAAUCCAAGGCAACACACAAAGCAAAGAUGAUCUCGCUGUCGAGAUGCAUACAGAUUUUGAGGAGCCUGUGGUUGUUGGUCUUCCACAAUCCACCCCACUGAAGGAAAGAGGAUUGCAAGAGUGCCCUGCACUCACAGGUUCAGAGGGGUUUACUCAAAGCAGUGCAGUCUGUGGGUUGCCGAAAAGAUCUAUCUGCCCACCACACAGAACUUCUGCAGUGACCUACUACAGCUGGCAGCAGCGAGGCGAAUGGACACGUCAGUGAAAUACAAGCUUAGAUAAUCGCAUGUGCAUCUCUCUCAGCUCCCUCCGAACAUUGCUCCAUUUCCAAAACCCAAUAAAGGAGACUUGAUUGC